CCCUUAGAUGUUCUGGGCCGCACGCGCGCUACACUGAUGCGUUCAACGAGUGUAUAACCUUGACUGAAAAGUCUGGGUAAUCUGAGAGAAAGCGCAUCGUGCUAGGGACAGAUUCUUGCAAUUAUUAAUCUCAAACGAGGAAUUCCUAGUAAACGCGAGUCAUCAGCUCGCAUUGAUUACGUCCCUGCCCUUUGUACACACCGCCCGUCGCACCUACCGAUUGAAUGGUCCGGUGAGAAUUUGGGAUGAAGCGGAAUGGCUGAGAGAUUGGCUGAGCCGAGUCAAAACUUGUUCAAACCUUACCAUUUAGAGGAAGGUGAANUCGUANCA
rnacentral:rRNA from 1 species